AGGCAGAGAGGCACGUCCUUUUUUGUAUUCGGGAGGCUCCCAUCCAAUCCACUCUCCGCCAUCGUUAUCUCCCCCCAACCCCAAUAAAAGCCUCUUUCUUUCUUUCUUUCUUUCCCUCACCAUAACCAGGAGAAAUUCCCUUGACUCGACCAUUGAUACGGACUGCUGUGCGCCCUCAUCUUCUUCAUACGAUCCUGAGGAUGAUGAUGAUGAUCACGAGCUGACUGCUGAGCGAUUGCUGCUUAAACUGACCAAGCAGUCUUGUCCAAGAUACAUAAAGGAUAUGAGAAGGCAUAGUCCCUCGGUUCAAGUUACUGCUCAGACAUACGACCAACAAAUAUUGAUUGAGAGUCUUACUUGAUGGCGCUCCGCAGGGAUGUCCAACGGGACAAUUAAGGCUGUAGGCUUUUUGAGGACUUGAAAUUGUCAUUAUUCUAUCCAUGUGGAAACACUUCUCAGCAAGGGCAGAGCAGUGUAAAAGAGGAUGAACCUGAGCUAAAGGAAUUGUAGAAGAGUCUGUGGCAAGUGUGCACUCGAAUUAUAAAUGGGGUUGCCCCAACAUUCUUCUAACAAUGAAGUCAUAGCAUUAGUGAGCACAUCUGUGCAGGCUACUUCUCUUGUCGCUGGUGCACACAAUCAUGACAUGACUGCAGUGCAUGAAGGGAAGCUCGGGAACUGGGUACAUGUGAAUAUGGCUCCGCCUUGCUUUUCUUCUGCAGAACUGCAAAGGAAAUGUAGCUUCGAGAUUUCAAGGAAUCCUGAUGAAUUGUACAAGCAUAUAGACAAUGAGUGGGAGGAGCAAAGUUUGAGAAUUAACGCCAUCAAUCAACAUGAGUGGUUGCAUGGUAAAAGGAAGCAGAUUACUCGAGCACCUGCUGUUAAGAUUGUGGGUUUUGAAUUGGGACCUCCGGAUUUUCUGUCAAAUGUGGUUAAUGGAAAACCGUCUUUAUUCAGUCAGGUUAGUAGAACAGGUAGGACAAAUGAGGGCUCUGGCUCCCUAGCCAGGAAGCGUGUCUUGUCCCCUCCAAACAGAAUGCUUCUCCCAGACCAAUAUGAUGGUGACAUUUUAGAUAUUGGCCAAAGCAUGUCUGUAAAUGAUAGUUCUCAAAAUGGCGUCUCCUUAAUGCAAGAAUCUAAAAAAGCUCAUAUUGGCAAUUCUGGUGAUUCUGACUUCACUAUUCGGUCAGCAGACGGUCUUUCAAAGUGGAACAAUUCACUUGGAGAAGACUGCAGAAAAAAUUCCAUUCCUCUUACUGAUGGCCCUUUGCUUGAGAAAGCGGCAAUGCAGUCUAAAUCUUCUACAUUUUCUACUGGAAUAAAUCAUAUGAGAGGAACAACUAAGGUAAGGUCCUCGUUAGUUGCCAUAGACAUACCCAGGGAGAAGGUAGUUUCACCUCCUCCGUCUCCUCUGGGGCCAAAACUCUUUGAUAGGAUGAGAUCCACAAGCAGAUGCGAAAGCAUUCCAAAGAAGUUUGAGGAUGACUGUAUAGCCUCAAAGGACGUGGAAAGGUUGCUCGAUGGAGGUUUGAGCAAUGUUUUAUCUUCUGACGAGGGGAUGGACUUUCAGAAUACUAAAUCUUUGCACAAACAUUAUUCAUUACCCAAAGAAUUCGUUUCCUUUACAUCAGAGAGCACCACUGGCAGUGGAAAGCAUUGUGGUCUGGAUUUAAAGUGUAACUCUCAACGUUGCAAAUUUGUCCAGUUUCCAGUUAGAAGAUCAUUAGUGGGUUCAUUUGAGGAGUCCCUCUUUUCAGGUCGGCUCUUAUCCUGUAAAGUCAACCAGAGAAUUGAGGGUUUUCUCGCUGUUCUAAAUAUCACUGGGGGUGAUUUUUCUCCCAAAGCGCAGAAACUUCCAUUUGCAGUCACCAGUGUAGAUGGAGAUAACUACUUGCUGUACUAUUCUUCUAUAGGUCUCUCUGAUACCUUGGCAGCUGACGGUUGUAAAGGAGCAAAACUAAAGAGGAGCAAGAGCGUCAACUGUUUACGAGAAGAAAAGAGCUGCCUGCAUAUACCCAUGAAAGGUCGAAUACAACUGGUUCUUAGCAACCCAGAGAAGACACCUAUCCACACGUUCUUCUGUAACUAUGACUUAAGUGACAUGCCAGCAGGUACAAAGACCUUCCUGCGUCAAAAAAUCAUGUUAGCAUCUUCUGGAUUGAAUCCUAUAGCGGAAAAUGGAAGUCUGAGAGACGCCGGAGCAAAAGUUGAUUUUAAGCCGUCUGCAAUUACACAUUCUUCACAAGCCAGCAAUAGUUAUUCGAAAUUAGAUGGUGUUGAAUAUAUGGAAAGGUCAGCAAAGCCAAAUAAAGAGAUGAAGGCAAAAGGCUUUGGCUGCAUCGAUGAUCUUCCGAAUCACUUGAGAAAAUUCGCCAUGAAUGACGAGCCUGCAAAGACUGACGAAGGGAGCUCCCAAUCAGAUACAAAUACAGUACCUACUAACUCAUCGAAGGUCAACCAGGUCCCUGGUGUUAGAGGCUCUUUGCGUUAUGCCCUUCAUCUCCGAUUCUUUUGCCAGUUUUCCAAGAAAUUCAAGUCGGUAAGGAGGUGUAACUCUGAUCCAUCAUCUGCUCCAACUGGGAAAAACAAUUGCAACGAUGGGCCACGGCGAUUUUACUUGUACAAUGACUUGAAAGUUGUCUUCCCUCAACGGCAUUCAGACUCAGAUGAAGGCAAGUUGCACGUGGAGUAUCAUUUUCCAUCAGAUCCAAAAUACUUCAACUUAAACUGAAUGGUCCAGCACAUCUUCUUUACACAAUGUUGGACACAGCAUCAAAGAUUCUGUAUAGGUCAAUUUCUUAAUGAAAAGUUACUGUACAUAUGUGUACAUUUGAUCUCUUUUAUUGCUAUUCUUCAUACGAACUUCGGUUUUGCUAGUUUGGUUGCAGGUUGACCUAGUCCUUACAUGCCAUACUUUGUUCCCUCUCCAGCAAUGAUAUAGCAGUAAUCCCAGCUCUCUCUCUCUCUCUCUCU